GGGCCGUAGGCAGGCGCAGCGCCGGCAGCAGGCGCGGCACGGCCGGGGAGGCAGCGCGCGAAGGCGUCGGGCAGGGCCUGAGGGCGGCGCGGGGGUGGCCGUCACGGGGCUGAGCGGGGCUGUGCUUUGUGGCGCGAGCAUGCCGUAUUUUAUGUAUUCGGCUGAGAUGAAGCUCACGUUUCGACUUUCAGAAAUUCAUCAGCAGAGAUGGCCUUGAGAAGAGAUUUUAAGGUUCUGCCGUCUUUUAGGAGGAAGGGUUUUGCUGCAGAGCUUACUCUGGCACACAUCCCACCCCCGAUCCGAGGCUGUUGUGGUACGGUGGUGACUGAAGGAAACGGACAACCCCCAACGGAACAUUUCUGAGAUUUCCUGGAGUAGCAGCUUCUGGAGAUGCCUUGCUGAGCACUACCCCCACCCCUCCACCAGUCGGUCCACCCAGACAGUCAGGCACCCCUCCAAAGUGACAGAGCCUCCUUGCAAAACAAGGUGCCCCCCCCCCCCCCCCAAAACAGUCAAGGAUCCUCUCCCUGCUCUUCUGCAGGGGGACAUAUAUUCAGGGCUUCAUCUGCGCCUCCUCCCCCUUUAUUUGGAGUGUUUUAUUUCCACGAGCAACCCCUAACACCCUCUGGGUGAAAGAUGACACCCCUCGUGUCAGCCCUGCUAUGGUGGAUCUCAGGGCCUUUCUCCCCUCCUGUUCCUCUCCACAGCAGCAUGAGGCCCCUCACACUGUCUGAUCUGAGGGAGGCUCCCCGUGUUUUGGUGUGCCAGUUAGGGUCUGUGCCCCCUGGGAUCUGUGCUGGUUUCCCCUGGGGCUGACCUUGGCCGAGGGAAAUGCAGCAAUAAAGAAUGGAAUCUUGAA